CCGCUAGCAGAUGUGUUACAGAGGGCUACAUGCCUGCUGUGAUCUAGAUCUGCGACUGGGGUUGCAUGAUUCGCUUACGCGACUGUAGACUCAGGAGGGAAGCGGCGAUAACAGGUCAGUAAUGCCCUUAGAGAUCCUGGGCCGCACGCGCGCUACACUGCUGUGAUCAACGGGGUGUAAUCCUAAUAGGAUUACGAGCCGCCGCAGCGUGCUUGGGGUAGUCUGAUGGACGUGAGACUCUAACGAGGAAUUCCUAGUAAGCGCGAGUGAACAGCUCGCCCUGACUGCGUCCCUGGCCUUUGUACACACCGCCCGUCGCUACUAUGAAUGUGUGUAUCGGCGAGUUUGUCAGAGUGUAUCUCUGAUGCGCGAAGACAUGCAAGCCGAUGCAUGUAGACAAAGUAAAAGUCG
rnacentral:rRNA from 1 species